rnacentral:rRNA from 1 species
UACGAAGGGGGCUAGCGUUGCUCGGAAUUACUGGGCGUAAAGGGAGCGUAGGCGGAUAGUUUAGUCAGAGGUGAAAGCCCAGGGCUCAACCUUGGAAUUGCCUUUGAUACUGGCUAUCUUGAGUACGGAAGAGGUAUGUGGAACUCCGAGUGUAGAGGUGAAAUUCGUAGAUAUUCGGAAGAACACCAGUGGCGAAGGCGACAUACUGGUCCGUUACUGACGCUGAGGCUCGAAAGCGUGGGGAGCCAAACAGGG